CUGCUUCAAGUAAUAGGAUCCCAAUCCUUUGUCUCAUAUAGUUUUUAUUGGCAAUGCAGUAUCUCUUUUUGGCAUUUUCCUGAUUACUGGGCUUUAAAUUUUAGCCUGUGUAGUUACAGACCUCUAGAAGAAAGUUUACUUUUCUCAAUUUUAUUUUUUAAUUAAACUUUAUUUUAAUUUUAUAUGUACAAUGUUCUACCUGUAUGAAUGUCUGUACACUACAUUCAUUCUGUACUUACGGAGGCUAGAAGAGGAUGCUGGAUCUCCUAGAACUGGAAUUACAGAUAGUUGUGAGCCAUCGUGUGGGUGCUGGGAAUCAAAGCCAGGUCCUCUGGAAGGGCAACCAGUGUUCUUAAUCGUUUGGUCAUCUCUCCAGCCCCUUACUUCAUUUUUAAGCCAGCAAGCAUGUUUACAGAAGCAAAAACAGAAAAUUCAAGGCAAUUAUUUGGGUGCUUUCUGCUUCUUUAUUUCUCAAGGCAAUUAGGAUAUGGUUCUUGGCAUACCAAGCAAAUAAAAUUCCAAGAGACAAUGUACUAUAUUUUCUCCUCAGUCAGGGCUACACUCCUGCUUAACUCUUUCCUGACAUUUAGCUUUCCUUUACCCUUUUCAGGCCAUAAUAGAACUGAACCCACUUUUCCUUCUGUAUAUUACCAGAUAAACAUAAGGUGCAAAUCCGUGUGUACCUUGUAUUUUUUUAUUGCCAAAUCUAACAAUUCUAUCCAGAUAGUGAGAUACCCCUUCUCAGGCACCUACAGCUCCAUAUGCCUGUUACUGAGCCAACACUUGCCCCCUGAAAGGCUGGAGAUCUAGUCUGACCUCUGUAUCCUUAUUAAGCAAUACUACAUGGCUCAGUGCAUAAGAGAAUGGUAUUGUUUGCUCAGUGAAUAGCUACAUACGAAUGAUACUGCAAUAAGCCUGCAUGUUCUGGUGGACUCAGUAAAUGCUCCAUCAGAAUAAAUUCCACCUAAAACUCACCUUCCCUUCAUAGCUGUGGAAGAAUCACUUGAUGCUUUACAUAUCUAUCCAGGUAGGCAGUCUGGAAAGCUGGGAGUCGUCAGCUCUCUCUCUCUCUCUCUCUCUCUCUCUCUCUCUCUCUCUGUGUGUGUGUGUGUGUGUGUGUGUGUGUGUGUGUAUGUUUAGAGCAUCAAGGAGUAGGAGGGAGACAAGCACAUCCAGGACGUAAGGAGGUGAGCAAACCAGCAAGGGGAAAAGUGGCGGGAGAAGAGAAAGAGACAGGAAGAGCCCAAAGGAAAGUGGCAGGGGUAGGAAGGACAGGUAAGAAAGGAGAAACUAGCUGGCAUGAGUAUAAGGAGUGACAUGUGCCUCAAACAGGAGGUCUGGGGCUCUGGGAACUGAACUCAAGUAAGUGCCUUUAACCCCUCAGAGCCAUCUCACCUGCUCCUCAGCCUUUCUCUUUAGUGUAGACCAUAGAUACAGUUUAUUGCAUGGUCAGGUAUAGCAGUCUCAAGGAUGAGCGCAGACAAUGGCCAAUAUAUUACAAAGGAAGAUACAUUCUAAAGGUGUAGAAGGGGACAGCUUCCAGAAAGAUUAUGGUGCUGACUUAUAUUUUUAAGCAGGCUUUACAUUGUUUUCAAACUUUCUAGAACAGACAGCUUUCCUAGGGAGUAUUUUCCUAGCCAAGUGAUUGACAGGCCCAUUUGGAUUAAUUUAGAAGGAACAAUGGUAUCUCUCUGGUUUUAUUUUUCACUAGGAAACUACAGCUAAAUACUGAUUUUAUGACUCUCUAGACAGUUUAGAAUGCCAUGUCACCACACAGUGUGAAAUAUGACUCAGAGCCUAUUCUUUUUAAAAUUACAAUUAUUUAUUUAUGUGUGCACAUCCUGCACAUUGUACAUGAGGGUAGGCAGGUAUAUGGAGAGCAGAUAACGUCUUGAAAGAGGUGGUUGUCUCCUUUGGCCACAUGGGUUCCUGGAAUUGAACACAAGUCAUUGGCCUUGGUAGCAAGAGGAAAGUGCUAAGACAUUUCACCUGCCCCUCAGGUCCCAUCCAUUUAAAAAGAUAUACUUUUGCUUUUAGUUUUUAAUUCUCUCAGUGGUGUGUGUGUGUGUGUCUGUGUAUGCACAUGUAUGCAUGUGAAUUCGGGUACCUACAGAGAAGCCAGGAUGUCAGGUCCCCCUGACGUGAAAUCUUUUGCAAGAGCAAUGUGUCCUCUUUAACUGCUGAGCCAUCUACAGAGCCCCUAGAAUCCUGUUCUUUUGACCAGUAGUCAGCCCUGCACUUCCAGUUUCUGGCUUUACAAGAUGCUGAUUAGGAAAGAAAGGUCCUUCCUAGGUGACCUUCAAGCCUGUUACUAUCUGCCUGCCUAGCCAGCAACCCCACUUUAAGAACUAGGGCUCCAAAAUCAUUUAGGAGAUGGGCAUCUUUUUUAUCUGGCCACUUUCAGCUGCAAGGAGACAUAGAUAGAAGGGGGUUUCAAUGAGUGGCUUGAAAGCCCUUUGGGGGUCAAAUGAUCCUUUCACAAAUAUGUACAUCAUGAUUUAUUAAAGUAGCAAAAUUACAUUUAUGAAGUAGCAAUGGAAUAAUUUUAUGGUUGGCUCAUCACAACAUGAGGAACUAUAUUAAAAGGUUACAGCAUUAGGAAGGUUGAGAAUCACUGCUUUAGAAUUUCUACUCUUGCUAACUUUCAGGCAGGAGGAUGAUCAGGGGGACCAAAUAUACUUCUGGGCCAUCUGAGGGUGAAAUGACAGUAGAAAACACUUCAGAUCCAGCAAUGUCACAACAUAGGUAAAUUAAAUGGUGAUCUAUAGGUAGACCGGGUUAGUUUCACACACAUAGAGUUCCUGAGCCCAGCCUGAUCUAGAGGUUUGGUUUGGUUUGGCCUUUUGGUAAAAGAUUGUCCAGAAAUCGCUGUGUAGACCAGGCUGGCCUUGAACUCACAGAGAUCCACCUACCUCCCAAGUGCUGUGAUAAAAGGCAUGAACUGCCUCCACCACCCAGCUCUGAUCUAGAGUUUUAAUCAUGAGUAUAAGGAGGCAAAAAUAGGAGCAGCAAGAUGGUUCAGAUAGAAAUACUGCCAAGCCUGAUGACCCCAGUUUGGUCUCUGGAGCCUACAUGGGGAAAGAAGAGAACCAACUCCCACUAAUUGUCCUUUGACUUCUACAUGCAUGCUGUUGUAUUUGUGUGCCCACACACAUACCCAAGCACACAAAAAUGAAUAAAUAGAUAGAUAGAUAGAUAGAUAGAUAGAUAGAUAGAUAGAUAGACAGAUAAAACAAAGAACUCAGAAACAGAAGGCUGCAUAGAAUCACAAACCUGUUUUUUAAUGAGGGAGGAACAGACAGAACACUUUUCCUUAUUUGCUUGUUUAGACAGAUACCUAAGGUCACAUGUGUGUCACUUUUCUAAAGGUUUUUAGUUUGUGGGUGUUUCCUAUGAUGAUUCUCCUUUCAAAAGUAAUGAACACAGCCAGAAAUCUAGGGGACUUUGAUAGCAUGAUAAAGAUAAAACAGAUCUGAUCACAACCAGGUGGAGACAUACAGAGAUGUCACUGAAGUCUCUAUUUGGUCUCAACUUGGUUCCCUGGUCCCCAUGAGCUCCAUAGAGAAAAAAAUCAUAUUGUAAGAUAAGUGGAGUUUAUUAUAAGGUAAAGUGAGGUAGUCUCAAGGAUGAGAGAGGGCAACGACUAAGG
rnacentral:lncRNA from 1 species